CCAUAUGACCCUUAAUGCACACGCACCUGAUCUCUGAUCUCAGAAGCUAAGCACUAUUGGCCCUGGUUAGUAUAUGGAUGGAAGGAAAAUUAUAAAAUUGUCUAGUACAAACCAAGCAGGCUGCUAUAAGGC
rnacentral:rRNA from 1 species